GCGCCUGUAGCUCAGCUGGAUAGAGCAACGGACUUCUAAUCCGUAGGUCGGGGGUUCGAAUCCCUCCAGGCGUGCCA
rnacentral:tRNA from 1 species